rnacentral:tRNA from 1 species
UGGGAGGUGGUGAAAUGGCAUCACGCCGUCCUUUGGAGUCGGAGUUGCAGGUUCGAUCCCUGCCCUCCCAG